CGUAAUCCUCGACUCCUCGUGGAGUCGUGCUCCCGUUCCUCCCUCCCGCCCGACCUCUUGUUGCCCUCUGGAUCUGGUGGCCACCGGCCACCGGCGAGCUCCUUCCCCAGCAAAAAUCGGUCGCCGGCGAGGCUCUCCCUUCAAAACAACCCGUCGCCUUCCGCUGCUGCUGGGCCGUGAAGCCUUCGUCCUCGCCGUGCACCUCUAGGCGCCCGCGGGGCAGGCGGGUACUCGUGCUUGCAGCCGCCUCCGCCCGUGCCUCCCCCGCGGCCGCCGCUCGGGGCCUCGACACCGACGACUUCCGCCACCCGCUCGACAAGCAGGCAAGUCUUCUCUUCCUGUCCGUAUAUACUGUUCGAUUGCGCGAUGGCUGUAACUUUCCGUCCUCUGAGAAAUUCUCUGGCCUACUGGUGCCGUGCCACUAUGUUGCUGAAAUGCUGAAUAUUUGUGGUAUUUAUAUAUAAUUAUUAAUUA